GCGCGCGCAGGCGCGGGCAGGAGCGCAGGAGACGCGCCAGGCAGUCGUCGGUGACGUGGCCGCAGCCCGACAGCGUGACGGAUGCCAGUUCUCACUGUUGUUCAUCCAUUCUUCUCCUGAGAUGGUGAGCAUCUUUAUGACCAUUAUUUUGAACUCCUUAUCAGGUAAAUUACUUAUCUCUGUUUAAUUAAGGUUUUUUUCUGAGGUUUUAUCUUGUUCUUUCAUUUGGAACAUAGUGCUCUGUUUCUUCAUUUUGCUCGACUCUAUGCAUUAGAUACAACAGCCACCUCUCCCAGUCUUGAAGGAGUGGACUUUGUGUAGGAGAUGAACCAUAUUGCUCAACCAUGCCCUAGCUCUUGGUUGUCUCUCAAAGCUUUGUGAUUGUCUAAGCAGCCGCCUAUUUUAUUUUUAAUAGUUCCCAGUAGUUGAAGGUGUGUCAAGACCUGUCAGUGUCCCAAAGGGAAGAAUCUCAGGCAGCAGCUUUUAAAGUAUGCAAAUAUAUACAGGCCUAUGGGACUGCAAGCAUAAGUUUCACUAGCCACCAGAGCUGGAGGUGUCCCUCCCACCAGAGUCAAAAAAUUGGGGUCCAGACGAGGGUAUAAACUCCUUUCUGGGAGAUACCAGUGAGCUGUGGCAAGGCAGAGGGAGAGUGCAAAGAUGACCUCCCUGGCCUGUGUUGCCUGAGAGUACCUCUAUAAGCCCCUAGGUGUGUGCCAAACCAGAAGCCUGCCUCUCAAGCCAAAGCUCCAGGAUAAGUAAAUUGGCCUCUUUUGCAGGAAGACUUGGGGUUUUAGUCUGCUGUUUGUGCAGUGCCCUAGAGGUAGUAGCCUACCAAGCACUAUCUUCAAUGGUUAGAGUCCUGUGGGACCCAGGAACACAAGUCCCUCCCCUCUGGCCUCCAGAGACAGGCAAUCAAGGGGCAUCCCAUGGGCUGCGGUCACAAAAAAUGGGGCACCAGACAUGUCUAAGAGCUCGCCUUCAGGAUAUACUGGAACUAUACAUGGCCGAAGGACCCAUCCUCCAGGUUCUCUGGAAAGGAUUAUAGUCAGCCCUUAGGUGUGUGUGUCUAAUUAGAAGCCUACCCCUCAGGCUACAGCUAUGAUGAUAAGCAUAUAGGCCUCUUACAGAGAAAGGCUGAGCUCCUAGGUCUGUUGCUUCUUUCUGUGCCUGGAGAGUGAUAGCUGUUUAAGAGCUCUUUCUCCAUUGGUUAUAGUCCUCUGGGACCUGUGAGCAUAAGCCCUGCUGGCCACCAGAGCCAGGUGACAUAAAGGUGUCCCCUGACAGCAGCUACAAAAAUCCGAGUGCCAGACAAGGGUAUAAGCUCCUUUCUGGAAGAUACUGGUGAGCUAGAGCAAGGCUCUAGGCUUGCUAGAACACAAAGGUUGCAUCUGCUGGCCUCCACUCCCUGAGAGCAACUCUGUAGGCCCCUAGAACUGCACCAGACCAGAAGCCUGCCCCUCAGGCCAAAGCUCCUGGACAAGCAAAGUCUCAGAAAGACUGGGUACGUUUGUCUGUUUUCUAUGCAAUGCUGUGGGGAUGGCAGUCUGCCAAGAACUGUGUCUCCAUUGUUAUAGUCUCAUGGGAUGCAGGAAUGAAUGUAAGCCCCUUGGGCCUCCAGAACCAUGUGAUAAAGGGGUAUCCCCUGAUGGGAGCUGCCAAAACUGGGGCACCGGAUGCAUGUGAAAGUUCCCCUUCAGGAGAUGUUGGUGCUCUGGAGCAUGGCAGAGGACAGCCUGAAGAUGGUGCCUGCUGUCUGGAGCAAAACAGAAAAGGAGUGUAAAGAUGGCACCAACCCAAAGCAGAACACACACACAAACAAAAUGUGGCACCUGCAGGUUUUACCAAGGCAAAGGGAGAGCAUGAAGAUGGCACCUACCAGCCUCCAUCCCUGAAGGGUAUCUCAGCAGGCCCCUGCCCCUCAGGCUGAUGCUUUAAGGUUAGCAAAUAAGCCUCACAUAAAGUCUCGGUGCUUUUCAAAGGUCUGCUUCUGCAUGGGACCCUAAAGUGAGUGAGUCUGUGCACAAGCCCUUUAAGAGCCAUUUCUAAGUCUCGUGGGUCUGGUGGAUGCAAGCCCUGCUGGUUUUCAAAGCUGUUUUGAGGCCUCACCUCUCAAGUGCAGGUUUUAAAAGUUGGAGUGCCUAGUGAAGGGAGAAGCUCUGGGUUUUGAGUUCCCUCCCUAUGUGGGUUGCUGCCCUGGGUGUGGGCUUAUGGUGAGAUUGUGUCUCAGCCUCUCCUACCCACUACAAUGUGGUUCCCUUCUUACUUGCCCAAUGUGCAGGAGUCACUGUUAGUUUUUAGGGUUUUUUUCAGAGCAAAUUGUUCCAUAUGUAACUGUAGAUUUGGUGUG